rnacentral:rRNA from 1 species
UGAGGAAUAUUGCGCAAUGGGGGCAACCCUGACGCAGCAACGCCGCGUGAGUGAGGAAGGUUUUCGGACCGUAAAGCUCUGUCGAGCGGGAAGAAAUGCAUAAUGGCUAAUAUCCAUUAUGCUUGACGGUACCGCUAAAGGAAGCACCGGCUAACUCCGUGCCAGCAGCCGCGGUAAUACGGGGGGUGCGAGCGUUGUUCGGAGUCAUUGGGCGUAAAGAGCGUGUAGGCGGCUGGAUAAGUCAGAUGGGAAAGCCCUGGGCUUAACCCAGGAAGGGCAUUUGAAACUGUUCAGCUGGAGUAAGGGAGAGGAAAGUGGAAUUCCUGGUGUAGAGGUGAAAUUCGUAGAUAUCAGGAGGAACACCGGUGGCGAAGGCGACUUUCUGGCCCUAUACUGACGCUGAGACGCGAGAGCGUGGGUAGCAAACA